rnacentral:tRNA from 1 species
GGGCGCAUAGCUCAGUUGGCAGAGCAGCAGAUUUUUAACCUGCAGGUCGAAGGUUCGAUUCCUUCUGCGCUCA